rnacentral:rRNA from 1 species
UACGUAGGGGGCUAGCGUUGUCCGGAAUCAUUGGGCGUAAAGCGCGUGUAGGCGGUUCGGUAAGUCCGCUGUGAAAGUCGGGGGCUCAACCCUCGAAUGCCGGUGGAUACUGUCGGACUAGAGUACGGAAGAGGCGAGUGGAAUUCCUGGUGUAGCGGUGGAAUGCGCAGAUAUCAGGAGGAACACCGAUGGCGAAGGCAGAUCUCUGGGCCGUAACUGACGCUGAGGAGCGAAAGCGUGGGGAGCGAACAGG